rnacentral:rRNA from 1 species
UACGGAGGGUGCAAGCGUUAUCCGGAAUCACUGGGUUUAAAGGGUGCGUAGGCGGUUUGAUAAGUCAGUUGUGAAAUUCACCGGCUUAACCGGUAGAACUGCGAUUGAUACUGUUGGACUUGAAUCAGGUUGAGGUAGGCGGAAUGUGGCAUGUAGCGGUGAAAUGCAUAGAUAUGCCAUAGAACACCGAUUGCGAAGGCAGCUUGCUGGACCUAGAUUGACGCUGAGGCACGAAAGCGUGGGGAGCAAACAGG